GAUGAACGCUAGCGGCAGGCUUAACACAUGCAAGUCGAGGGGUAGAGUUCUUCGGAAUUUGAGACCGGCGCACGGGUGCGUAACGCGUAUGCAAUCUGCCUUCCACAGAGGGAUAGCCCAGAGAAAUUUGGAUUAAUACCUCAUAGCACCAUGGCCCGGCAUCGGGAUAUGAUUAAAGUCACAACGGUGGAAGAUGAGCAUGCGUCCCAUUAGCUAGGUGGUAAGGUAACGGCUUACCAAGGCUACGAUGGGUAGGGGUCCUGAGAGGGAGAUCCCCCACACUGGUACUGAGACACGGACCAGACUCCUACGGGAGGCAGCAGUGAGGAAUAUUGGUCAAUGGGCGCAAGCCUGAACCAGCCAUGCCGCGUGCAGGAUGACGGUCCUAUGGAUUGUAAACUGCUUUUGUACGGGAAGAAACCCUCCUACGUGUAGGAGCUUGACGGUACCGUAAGAAUAAGGAUCGGCUAACUCCGUGCCAGCAGCCGCGGUAAGAC
rnacentral:rRNA from 1 species